UGGAGCGGCUGUGGCUGGUUUUAAUACAUUGAUUUAAAGUCUCCUCGCAAACCCUGAGCAGCAGCCGCUUGUCUUUCACCAGCUCAUUCCAAAAGGCGUAAAACCAUCGAGCCGCAAAAGAUGGGGCGAGAUUAAUCACCGCGGCGCGGGUUACAACAGAUCUUAGCGUCGUGUCCCGGCAGCUGGUUGAAAUUCAAGCGUAACGGGUUUGGGGUUGGAUUUACGGGGAGAUUUGAAGCAAUUUGUGCCUUGUCGUGACCUCGUCAGCACCGGGACCUCCCACACAGGCGGCCGGCUCCUGCAUCUCGUGGGGUUUGGAGGUCUGAGAGCAACAAAAGCCGCUGCAAAGCCAUGUUGUUCCCUGCAGGUCGUGGCGUGGAGAGUAGCAGCUGGUGUUAGAAACGCUCAAACGCCUCUUGUUUCGGGGGAUUUGGAGCUGGGUCAGCUGUAAUCCUGGUGGCGUCACUGGAAACAAGACAUAAAAGCAAAUCCCACUUGAAUACCUGCCUUAGCUCUUCCUCGCAUGGAAACAGAAAGUUCCCGAGCAUCGUGAGACAGAAGAAGCUCAAAUCCCAUCACCACCUUUCACCCGUCCUUCAACAUUCCCGCAGACACAAGGAGGGUUCAGGGUUGUGAUAGGAUGGGAAAAAGCUCUGUGUUGUGGGAUAGGACACACUGGAGGUGCUGUGGGGGAAGAGGAAGGUGAUGGAGGCUGGACAAGGUCACCCACGUGUCCCCAAAGAGCCACGUCCUGGGGAAAAGCACCUCUUGUCCCUGCCCAAACUGCACCACAUGAGGCCAGUUGAGCCUUGUAUAAUAAAUAUGAGUCAUGCGAAUCCUAAUAGGCAGCUUAUGGUCCCAAUCAAGGGCGAUUUGUUCAUAGCGGGGUUGAUAACCGGGUCAAAACUCAAUGUUACUGCGAGAAAAAGGGGCCUGACUUUCCAAAGAGAUCGGUAUUUUGAAGAGAAGCUGCAGGCACAGAAGGGCUGGAGCACAGUUAAUUAGUAAUUUAUGUUGAACUGUGAGGACUGAGUAGAGGAGAAAUGAAGUUUUGUUCAAAUUUGUUCUUUGCAGAUGAGGUUCGUGGGGACAGUGCUGGGUUAACAGUUGGACUCAAUCUUAAACGUCUUUUCCAACCAAAGCUUUUCUACGAUUUUACGAUUCUAUGAAAGAAGAAGCAGAAAAGUAUCCAGUUAAAUGAUAAAAGUGUUACUCAGCAAAUCAAAAAUGCAAUAAAUGGGUAUUUUCUGGUUAA